rnacentral:rRNA from 1 species
CAGUAGCCACGGGAAUACGUAGGUGGCAAGCGUUAUCCGGAAUUAUUGGGCGUAAAGCGCGCGUAGGCGGUUUCUUAAGUCUGAUGUGAAAGCCCACGGCUCAACCGUGGAGGGUCAUUGGAAACUGGGAAACUUGAGUGCAGAAGAGGAAAGUGGAAUUCCAUGUGUAGCGGUGAAAUGCGCAGAGAUAUGGAGGAACACCAGUGGCGAAGGCGACUUUCUGGUCUGUAACUGACGCUGAUGUGCGAAAGCGUGGGGAUCAAACAGGAUUAGAUACCCGUGUAGUCCCUGUCUCUUAUAC